GUUUUUAUAGUUGAACUCAACGACGGUUUUUCGAGCCGUAGGUCCUGGUUAAAAUCCUGGUAGAAACC
rnacentral:tRNA from 1 species